CCUACGUGAGGCAGCAGUGAGGAAUAUUGGUCAAUGGGCGCAAGCCUGAACCAUCCAAGUCGCGUGAGGGAUGACGGUCCUAUGGAUUGUAAACCUCUUUUGUCGGGGAGCAAGGCCCGCCACGUGUGGCGGGAAGGAGAGUACCCGACGAAAAAGCAUCGGCUAACUCCGUGCAAGCAGCCGCGGUAAUACGGAGGAUGCGAGCGUUAUCCGGAUUUCGUGGGUUUAAAGGGUGCGUAGGCGGAAGGUUAAGUCAGCGGUCAAAUGUCGGUGCUCAACACCGGCCUGCCGUUGAAACUGGUCGUCUUGAGUGAGCGAGAAGUAUGCGGAAUGCGUGGUGUAGCGGUGAAAUGCAUAGAUAUCACGCAGAACUCCGAUUGCGAAGGCAGCAUACCGGCGCUCAACUGACGCUGAGGCACGAAAGCGUGGGGAUCGAACAGGAUUAGAUACCCGGGUAGUC
rnacentral:rRNA from 1 species